UACGUAGGGGGCAAGCGUUGUCCGGAAUCAUUGGGCGUAAAGCGCGUGUAGGCGGUUACGUAAGUCUGCUGUGAAAGUCGGAGGCUCAACCUUCGAAAGCCGGUGGAUACUGCGUGACUAGAGUACGGAAGAGGAGAGUGGAAUUCCUGGUGUAGCGGUGGAAAUGCGCAGAUAUCAGGAGGAACACCAAUGGCGAAGGCAGCUCGCUGGACGGUACUGAUCGCUGAGACGCGAAAGCGUGGGGAGCAAACAGG
rnacentral:rRNA from 1 species